GGGAUACCAUCUCUGUUUGGACGGACCCUUAGACACCCUCCCAAUUCCUGAGACCAGCUUUGAGUAACAUGUCCCAUGUGGAUCUGUCUUUACAACUAAGAUAUUUAAUUGAUUGUCAAAAAAAUUUUGGCGUUUGGAUGUGCUUCUUGAGCAUUUUAUCAUACAGCAAGACGAGGAUUCUUCUACAAUGGGAUCGUCAAAUCUCCGACAAAGUUUUUC
rnacentral:lncRNA from 1 species